UGGAGGGCUACAGUUUAGAGACCACUGUAUAGUAGUCUCAAACUGUAGCCCUCCAGAUGUUGCUAGGCAACUCACCGGCUUCCGUAGUCUGCACCAGGGAGCCAGCCCCAUGUCAUCGGCAGCCGCUGCCGCCGAUGGACAUUGCAUGUACCCUGAAGAAGCUCCUGUCCUCUACAUAGAAAGUGAUUUACAGCUCCCAGCAUCUCUUUCUUACUUUUACAUGUUCAAGUCUACAUUUCGAGCGAAAAUCUGACAUCUUGUGGCAAGAAAAAAGACUGCAGUAACAAAAAUGACGAGUAGGACAAACGGAGUUAAAAUAAAACAAUAAAAAUA